UUUGGGGAAAAUUAAAAUAAAAUUAUUNUUAAUAAAAAUUGAUCUUUACAAAACUAAAUGAAAAAGGUACUCUAGGGAUAACAGCGUUAUAGUUAUUAAAGCCCAUAUUUAAGUAACUGUUUGCGACCUCGAUGUUGAAUUGCGAUUUUUUUUUUAAAGCAGAAAUUAAAAAUACANAGGUCU
rnacentral:rRNA from 1 species